UCGUCACCAAGUAAGGUUUUAUGCUAAUAGUUAUUUUGAGUAAUUACCAAUAGUGUCCACUGCCUUUAACACAUAAUUUUUAUUGUAUCGUGGUGAAUUGGUCAUUGUCCAAAUUAUUAAGUGGGUAUUUUUAUUGGAGUGUUUCUAAAUUGAAGUCAUUUUCGCCCUAGUCUUGUGUUGGCAUCUGCAGCUCUCCUUAAAAAGUCUUUAACAAGAAGAUUUUUGUAUAGAAAUAUUUUGCAGAUGAUUUUUGGAGGUCCAGCAAAGUUGAGCUCCUCCAUUUUGUUUUAUCACCUUUUUAAAAUAUUCAGUAAAAGCGAUAUCAACUUUCGAGACUUAAUUUUCAAAAAAGUUUGAAUUAUUUACAUUUAAGACACUCCUUUGACCAACAUGUAGUUUGUAGGCAAUGAUCAUGACCAGGGGGCAUGGAGGCAAUCACCUUCGUUGCCUCCAUGAAGAAUCAGGCCUGAGUUUUGGGUAUGUCUGUUCACUCUCAUAAUGACUUUUUCUGAACUUCAUGUAACCAAUUUUGUGCUCUUUCCCUCAUAGCAGUCUUAAACAUCUGCAAUUUAUGCAAAACCACUAUAUUUGUACCCUUUGGAUAUACUAGUCAUGGGAGAGCAGGAAAGACUUCAAGCCUGAAGCCCUUUUCUUGCAUCUGAAAGCACACAUAAGUGCAACAAUGGUGUUUAUUCUUUUAUUAUUUUCUUGCCACUUCGAUGACCAAUUGAGUCAAUUUUUUCUGGACGUUGACAAAUACCAAACAGGAAAAUCUUGGGAACAAAUGGAGAAGCCUAAAACAACAUGACAUGUCCUCAGUGGCCCUUAAACCGCUCAUCACAUGAAAAGCCCUCUAGACAUUGCAUUUCUUAUGAGAGGGAACAGACAUCACCGAAAAAAUUCACUUCAGCCGUCACUAAAAACAAGUUAUGUAAUUGGUUGUUAGGAUUAAUAAAGUAAAUUAUUAUGUCUGAUUCUUUUAGUGUAGGCCUAAUGCACACGAAUAAUCUGCUUUCAAAUAAAAUAGACAUAUAUACAUUUUUCUCUUUUUGCUAGUGAUUUUUAUAUCUCGAUGUAGGCCUACUAUAUUUACAAUUCAGCCAUGUGCUGUGAUUGUGAAUAAACCUUUUAUCUGUCUAUAAUCAUUCUUUCUAUCUAUCUAUCUUUCUUUGAAUCUGUGGAGCGCAACAGCCAGCGGCAACGCUUUUCUUGUUACAGAUAACAUAUGUUAAAACCAACGUUGACAUUAAAGUCCGCUUUUAACUGGAAGUAAAGGUCACAUGGGGUCAAACUCUGUGUAGCACUUCUUAGAGUAUUCAAAGUCCAUCAUUUGAUGUAUAGAUUGUAUUUUUAUAUAAAACAUUCGUUUUAAAACAUGUUUAAAUUUGUUAUUCAAUGUGUUUGGGCCAAACAGUAAAAAAUAAAAGAUAAAGUAUCAACCAGGAUUAAGGCAGGAUGGAGCUCAUUUGGACAAAACAGAGGUACACUUGGUGAUAAGAACAGAAUUACAAGUAUAGCACUUAGGAGAAAAAUAACUUGAUCAGUGUGUGCUACGAACAAUAACUUAUGGAGCAGAGACAGAACUGAUCGAACAUAAACUCUGCAAAGCACAGAAAGCACACAGAGCAAUGAAGAGACAAUUGUGCAUCUCAAAUAGAGACAGGAUUAAAUGCACAGAAACACCAAAGAAAAUUGGAGGAAGAGAAUGUUAUAUAAGGACAAUAAAACAAGCUAAAUGGAAAUGGGCUGGACACACUGCCUGAAGAAAUGACAACAGAUGGACAACAAGAAUAUCGGAUUGGCAACCAAGGAUAAGGAAAAGAGAAGAGAAUGGAGAGAUGACAUCAGGGUUUAUGCACGAACAACAUGGACAAAAACUGCAAGAAAUUGAAAUGAAUGGCUUUUACAUUUGGAGGGACAUCCUACACAGCCUAAAUGAUGAUGAUGAAUAGUGACAGCACUAUGAUGUAGCUGAAGAAUGUUCAGUUUCAAGUUUCUAAUGGGAGUUGCCUGCUGGCUGGAUGUGUGUAGGCUGGAGUGUGUCAUCAGUGCUGUGGUGAGUGGAUGCAGGUGUUGGAAGAACUGUUGUCUUGGCAUGGGGCCCAUAAUGUAGCAGAGCAGAGGUUGGGGCGAAGAUCAGCAUUCUGGGUGUGUCCAGUUCGAACUCUUCCAUAUAUGAGCAAUUUCGUCAUUGAAUUUCACCAGAACCAUGGAUAGAGGAGAUCCCGUGGUAGGGGCCCAGCAGUUUGCUCAUAGAACAGGUCCAUUUGUUGGAAGCUUGAUGAAGCAAUACUUGGGCGAUAAGAAGAUCAAGGAUUUGUUGAGGAAUGAGGCUCAUGGCCAUUGGGUCUAUGUCAUGGUGGAAUCGGCUUGGCAUUGUUUUGCAUUGAGGCAUGCUUUUUUCGUAGGAACUCGUUUUAUGGUGAAGAAAACUGAAAUUCUGUGUUAGGCCAAACUAGUUGGUGUGGAGAAUCUUGGUGAGAUGUCUGGCCGUGUUGUAGGCUGGUAAACCACUCGACCCACUUUGUUAUUGAGGGAGUCAUCAAGAUUGUGUAUCUUGGGUUGACUGAGGAAACAAGGGCAGUAGGAUUCAGAGAGCUUGAGAUUGCAGAGGGCUUUUAAAAUGACGCUUAAUUAGCUUGAAACAAAUGGAGAGACCGGAGCUGCUAUGUGAUCUUGCAUUUAAUAUCUGGGAUGGGCUUUCUUGUAGGUGCUGUCCCUAACACAACUCUAUAUAACCCUCAUCUUAACACUAACCCUAGGACUACCCGGGAGUUCUAUCACCUUAACCCUUAACAUAACCCUAUAACAUACCUACACUCAUGUCCAAUACUUACAGACAACUGACUACUCUAACCAACUCUUACAGGCACCAACUAAUACACUUAUAGAUACCUACCAAGAAAACCCCAUCCCAGAUAUUGAAUGUAAGAUCACAUACCAGUUUCGGUCUCAAGCCUAGAUGUACGGUGCAGCGCAAUGUGGCAGAUUUCGCUAUUGCUCUCCUUAAAACGUCUCUGUUUUCUCUGUUUUCUUGCUAUAUUGGUUGUCUACCAGUAUGUGAACUCCUGACAGCGUUGACCGUGGGUUGCAUUGAACACACACGAAGGUUCAAUUAACUGGCUUUUCUGUCCUCGUUCCGGAGCUUUGUUUACAUUCAACAAGUCAUACUGAAUACACGAGAAGAUAAAGAACCUUACUGGUGAGCAGAUUUACCGAUUGGCCUACAGAGGCCGCCAGCAUCACUUGACGGGAGUGGUGCUGGCACCCCCUACUGGUUGAUCGGCACCGCCUCUACACUGCCACUCCUAGGCCCUUGCAUGUCCCAGAAGCAGGCAGCGAGCACCAUCGCCUGCAAGUGAAGCCAGUGAGAACAAAAUAGGGGGAAACUGUCCUGAUGGUCCCGCUGCACCUAAGUCCUGUGCAGUAGUUGUUUUCCUCAAAACUGUGGGUAACUCCUUUUAGAGAUCACAGUGGCGGGUGGACUGGCAGGGGUCCUCGAUGAAUGUUGCCGCAACCUGGGUGCUGUUACUUGCGGCAGAGGCAGGUCGGUCAGUGCUCUCCUUCUGGGUGCUGUUAUCCACCUAAAAGGAUGGUUCACUCCCCGUCCGGCCAGGUGUUUGGAGUUCCCGUGUCCUCUGCUCCACCGGGACGGUCCUGGUCGUGGCUACCCUCUGCCGCUGGGUUAGGUGGUGUCAGAGGCCACUCCGAGGGGAGAUGGUCCUCUGUGUCGAGAAAUGUCUCGCUCUUUGGUUGAGCCGUCAACC